rnacentral:rRNA from 1 species
GAUUAAAAAAGUUACCUCCUACUAACUAGUACUCUCAACAUGCAAGCAUACAACAUCAUCUCAUAACAUGCAUGAGAAAAGCCCACCCCUACUAUCAUAUGUCUCUUAACAAGCAAGCAUGCCACUUCAUCGGAUUAUGUUGCGAAAUAUCCCCGCAACAACGUAAGGGGCGUCAUCUAGUAUACCUAAGUAACUUAUCAACACUAGUGGUUGGGGCGCGCCCGUGGCGCGCUGCCUGAGAGGAAUUUCGGCGGUGCCAGGUUGGGUGCGUCCCUUUCACUUUCCUGGGUGUACUGCACAAUGCUAUUGCAUGAAGUUAAUGCACAUCAGCAUGAAAGUAGUGCAAUCUGUCGAUGGAUCAUCCUUAGGAGAAAAGACAAUGACAUCGCCAACGUGUGGCGCCACCUGCCGCCUGAGAGGAAGUUUCUGCGGUGCCAGGUAGGGUGGCGCCCUUUCAGUGAAUUUGAGCUCUGAUUGAUAAAAUGCAUGCAUGUACAACUGAUGCAUUACAUACGAUGCUCUUCUUCAUAAAAAACUAACCAAAUACAUCAAAUAAAUAAGCAAUCUUAACACUAUAUCUAUAAGAUGAUACUCUUCAUCAUGUCGGUGAAUUGCAGCUCCAGAAUUGUCGCCGCAGUUCAUUUACACAUAGAACUUUGUGAUGCGCCUGCCGCCAAGGCCGACGCGGCUGUGCUGUACAUGCCCAGAGCAUCAACAGCCGCAGCAGCCGCCACGUCCGUCGGCUGAUCGGGGCCUUCCUCGUUCUCUUCGAUCAUUUUUUCUCAAACUUAAAAGAAUCCCAUAUGAAUUUGAUAAAACACAAAUAUCUCCCAAUCCAAUCAACUACAGCAGCAAGUAAGAACUCAAGGAACAAGAAAGAAACUAAUUAUGUAGGGAACGGUGUCUUACAGCUAGUGGCCGUGGCAAGGAGUUGUUGAGGAUGAUAUUCAACAAUGUUAAUACCUGAAACUGCAAAAAUGAAGGCCUACAUCUCCUGGGAAGGCCAUACAAACAAUGAGAGCCAUAAGAAAACAUGUACCUACAUAAAUAGCCAUCCACUUGCUCAAGGAAAUAAAUGAGGAGCAAGCAAGAGGAAAGGGAAAUGAUGAUGGUAGAAUAUGCAACAACUGCACCAAUACACAGAAAAGAAAGUGGUCGCUAGUGGUCAACGCACUGGAUUUACCAAAGGUGAAUGAUGCACAAAUAAAAGAUAUAGGAUACCUAAAGAGCUACCAGAGUAUCAUGGACCAUCCCAGGGAAUGUAUUUCGAACUGUCUUUACUACGAUACCUAAUAGAAGAUACAUACAUGAUGCAAGUUAGCUUGUAGGGCAACAGUUCUAAGUAUACCACGGGGUAUAUUUUGAGCAUAAACGCAAAUAUUGAUGUGGCAACUAAUACAUAGAAUACAUGUCCUUAUGUGUGGAUUAAAACCUUACUGUCAGAUUCAGGAGUUUGUGAUGGACAUGUGAUUAAAAAUGAGUAACUGAACUAUGACUUUGUAGUAGUAAUAGCAAAGUAAACAACAUUUAGUGGAUGAGAGACCAAACAAAGCACUGAUGACAUGUGACUAACCCUACAUAUAUACACAACUUCAGUGGAUUCAGUAAAGCUUUCAUAAGACUGAACAAAGUUCCAAGUUAAUAUUAAACCCUGGGCAAUACCUGUGUAUGUUAGCAUUCUGGGCUAGUACAGUUCAGAGAAACUCACAUGAAGCAAUUCCAGGUCUAAGCCUAACUUUGUCCAGAGGACUCUCAUAAUGAUGCCGAA